CCUACGGGUGGCUGCAGUGGGGGAUAUUGCACAAUGGGGGGAACCCUGAUGCAGCGACGCCGCGUGGGUGAAGAAGCGCCUCGGCGCGUAAAGCCCUGUCAGCAGGGAAGAAAAUGACGGUACUUGAAGAAAAAGCAUCGGCUAACUCCGUGCCAGCAGCCGCGGUAAUACGGAGGAUGCGAGCGUUAUCCGGAUUUAUUGGGUUUAAAGGGUGCGUAGGCGGGCUGUUAAGUCAGCGGUAAAAGCCCGGGGCUCAACCCCGGCGAGCCGUUGAAACUGGCUGUCUUGAGAUGUCGAGAGGUAUGCGGAAUGCGCAGUGUAGCGGUGAAAUGCUUAGAUAUUGCGCAGAACUCCGAUUGCGAAGGCAGCAUACCGGCGGCGAUCUGACGCUGAGGCACGAAAGCGUGGGUAUCGAACAGGAUUAGAUACCCUAGUAGUC
rnacentral:rRNA from 1 species